CCGAUCUGGAGAGAGAUCUUAAUUGAUCCGCCGAAGGGGCACGCAGCAAAGCUGCUAAACUCUCAGGCAAAAGGACAGCGGGA
rnacentral:ncRNA from 1 species